rnacentral:lncRNA from 1 species
UAUUUCUCCGUCGUCGGAUCUAAAGGGACAACUAGGAUAACCCCGGCUUUAAUUUCGUAAAAUUAGAUGUAAACUUGGGAACUAACUGGCUCUGGGCUGGUAACCCUUCCCUUACCGAACCAAGACGUACGCCAGUCUGGCACUCCAUACUCUCUCUCUAUCUCAUUCUCUCUUUAACCCUACCCAUACUAACCCUAGCCAUCUGUCUUUACCAAUACUAACCCUAACCCUUGUCAAUAGCUUCUUUCUCUUCCAAUAAUGGUAGGAAUCCACAAUAACCUUACCCUUUGUUAAAAUGGAAUGAAGCCGCAGAAACCCUAUCCCUCUGUGAAUCGCUUCAAUUCAAGUCUCUCUCACUGACUUCAACAAUGGAAUCAAGAGGAAGUGAGGGGAGCAGUGAUGAAAGAAGAGGAAGUGAGGGGAACAGUGGUCACAACAGAAUGAAGGAAUAGCUUCAAUAAUUUGUGUUGUAGUUUGGGUUGUGGUUUGUUCAUCAAAAACAAGAUAAUAUCAAUUGAUUCGGUUAAUUAAGAAAGUCUUUUUUUUUUAAGAAAUUUAGUUUUAAGAGUAGUAGAGGAAUGAACGCGAUCUCCUUUCUUACUAGAUUAUGUAAAUUUUUUUGGUUUGAUUUUUAUAGAAAAAGAAAGUGCUAUUUCUCUCUCUCUCUCGAUCUCUCUGCCUUUUGUCUUUGAUUGUAAAGUUCGUCUCUUUCUUUCUCUAAAGUUGGUAUCUCUCUCUUUCUCUCUCUCUGCCUUUAAUGGUAAAGUUAGUAAUUUUGAGCUAAGCACUGAGUUCGCAACUUUGGGUAAGGCAAUUGAUUUUUUGGUAAAGUAUUACAAUUCUAACAUAACUUGGAUCAAUGCUAGUUCAUAAUUGAUUUUUUGGUAAAGUAUUACAAUUCUAACAUAACUUGGAUCAAUGCUAGUCCAUCAUCAUCUUCCUCUUCCUCUCAUUUUUGCUAGAGAGAGAAAGCGAGCUGGUUGCUGCUGCUGAUCCUGCUCUCCUCUCUUCCUUUUCAUCUCGUUUUUGCUAGAGAGAUAACGAGAUAGUGGUUGUGUGGCUACUGCUCUCCUCUCUUACUCUUCCUCUCAUAUUUUGCUAGGGAGAAAAAACAAUAGAAAUGGAAUGCUUCCUCUCAUAUUUUGUUAGAGAGAAAAAGCAAUAGAAAUGGAAUGAAAGGGUUAGAGAGAAACAAUGAGAUUAGAGAGAGAGAGAGUAUGGCGCGCGAUAUUGGUCGGAUGGGUAAGGGAAGGACAACAGGUGAAAGCUGGUUCAUCAAUGACAUUUUGAUCGGUGUUAUCUCAUCCGUUUCUUUGGUUCUGAUGGCUGGAAAAUACCAAUCACAUAUUUUUUCGAUAUGGGUGGGGUCACAUAGAAACAC